GCAGCCAUCUGGCCUAAUACUGACGCUGAGGUACGAAAGCAUGGGGAGCAAACAGGAUUAGAUACCCUGGUAGUCCAUGCCGUAAACGAUGUCUACUAGCCGUUGGGGCCUUUGAGGCUUUAGUGGCGCAGCUAACGCGAUAAGUAGACCGCCUGGGGAGUACGGUCGCAAGACUAAAACUCAAAUGAAUUGACGGGGGCCCGCACAAGCGGUGGAGCAUGUGGUUUAAUUCGAUGCAACGCGAAGAACCUUACCUGGCCUUGACAUACUAAGAACUUUCCAGAGACGGAUUGGUGCCUUCGGGAACUUAGAUACAGGUGCUGCAUGGCUGUCGUCAGCUCGUGUCGUGAGAUGUUGGGUUAAGUCCCGCAACGAGCGCAACCCUUUUCCUUAUUUGCCAGCGGGUAAUGCCGGGAACUUUAAGGAUACUGCCAGUGACAAACUGGAGGAAGGCGGGGACGACGUCAAGUCAUCAUGGCCCUUACGGCCAGGGCUACACACGUGCUACAAUGGUCGGUACAAAGGGUUGCUACCUCGCGAGAGGAUGCUAAUCUCAAAAAGCCGAUCGUAGUCCGGAUCGCAGUCUGCAACUCGACUGCGUGAAGUCGGAAUCGCUAGUAAUCGCGGAUCAGAAUGCCGCGGUGAAUACGUUCCCGGGCCUUGUACACACCGCCCGUCACACCAUGGGAGUUUGUUGCACCAGAAGUAGGUAGUCUAACCGCAAGGAGGACGCUUACCACGGUGUGGCCGAUGACUGGGGUGAAGUCGUAACAAGGUAACC
rnacentral:rRNA from 1 species